rnacentral:rRNA from 1 species
UACGGAGGGUGCGAGCGUUAAUCGGAAUUACUGGGCGUAAAGGGCGCGUAGGCGGCUGAUCAAGUCAGGUGUGAAAGCCCACGGCUUAACCGUGUGAAGUGCAUCUGAAACUGGUCGGCUUGAGUAUCGGAGAGGAAAGUGGAAUUCCCGGUGUAGAGGUGAAAUUCGUAGAUAUCGGGAGGAAUACCGGUGGCGAAGGCGACUUUCUGGACGAAUAAGGAAGCUGAGGCGAGCAAGCGUGGGGAGCACACAGGCGGCGAUAACCCCGUAGUCC